GAUGAAGAACGUAGCGAAAUGCGAUAAGUAAUGUGAAUUGCAGAAUUCAGUGAAUCAUCGAAUCUUUGAACGCACCUUGCGCCCCUUGGUUAUUCCAAAGGGCAUGCCUGUUUGAGUAUCAUGAACACCUCAACUCUUGUGGUUUCCCACAAUGAGCUUGGACUGUGGAGGUUUUGUUGGCCCUGUGGUCAGCUCCUCUCAAAUGGAUCAGCUUACCGGUGUUUGGUGGCAUUACGGGUGUGAUAACUAUCUACGCUCGUAGUCGUCUCCAAAUAACCUCCAGUGAUGGGGGUUCGCUGGAGCUUAUAAAUGUCUCUCCCCAGUGAAGACAGCCUUUGAACGUUCGAUCUCAAAUCAGGUAGGACUACCCGCUGAACUUAAGCAUAUCAAUAAGCGGAGGA
rnacentral:misc_RNA from 1 species